rnacentral:misc_RNA from 1 species
CGAGACGGUAGGACGCUAAUUGACACUGAUACACAGCAACUCAUCGUAUAAAAGCCAAGGUUCCAUCCCUCUAACGCGCCUGGUUUCGGUUGUUGCCUCUACUUCCUGCGCAAGUUACGGAAUCUGACGUUCUUCUCUUUUCUGCAAUGGCUAGGAACGGCGUCGUUUCCAUGCAUUGGAGGUCGGAGAAGAUCGAUGGCUUUGAUCUCUCACCUCCUGAUGAUGAACAAGUACACGUUUUAGCAGUGGAUGAUAGUCUAGUUGAUCGUAAAGUCAUUGAACGUUUGCUCAAAAUCUCAUGUUGCAAAGUGACUGCAGUGGAUAGUGGAAUUAGAGCUCUGCAAUUCCUGGGAUUAGAUGAAGAGAAGAGCUCGUCUGUUGGUUUCGAUGUGAGUGAACUGAACUUCUAUUAUUUUUCACUUAAUUGAGCUCAAUUGUGCCUUCUCAUUUGAUCCUCCAAUUUAUUCUCCUCUUCUGAUUGCUUAGUUGUUUAUGGUUUCAGGACUUGAAGGUGGAUCUAAUUAUCACAGACUACUGCAUGCCUGGAAUGACUGGUUACGAGUUGCUCAAGAAAAUCAAGGUAUCAACAUUUAUCAAUUUCUCUGUUUUUAAACAGAAUUCUCAAGAGAGAACUGUUCCUGCCAUUUCAUUUUCUGUGCUAAGCAGGAAUCGUCCACUUUCAGAGAAAUUCCGGUAGUGAUAAUGUCAUCGGAGAACGUCAUGGCUCGAAUCGACCGUUUAACAGGUGUUUGGAGGAAGGAGCAGAGGACUUUAUAGUAAAACCGGUGAAAUUAUCAGACGUGAAACGAUUAAGAGAUUACAUGACCGCCAGAGAGUUCAGAGUGAAGAACCAACAAAUAGGCAACAACAACAACAUCAAGAACAACAAUAAGAGGAGGUUAAGAGAGACUUGCGAUCUCUCUUCAUCGCCACUGUCCAUGUUAUUUUCAUCAUCAUCACCAUCGCCUUCACUUUCACCAUCAUCUCUAUCUUCUCCAUCGUCUCCAUCGCCCUGUCUAUCACCGUUACCAUCACCGCCGAUACUGUCAUAUUCGGCGCCUUGUUCUCCCACUUCCUUAGAUUCUCCUACCAGACGGCUGAAAAUGAGCAGCUCCGAUUAGAUCCUUUAUUCCCUCAUCAAAACCAACUAUUUUUAUUUACUUUACAAAUUAAAAAAAAAAAAAUUUUGCAAUGUCAGCAAUUCUCCGUUAAUUUAACGGUUUUUGUUGCUUUUUUGCUCUAGCCUUUUUUAGUGCAUUUGUUUAUGUCGUUGAUUAGUACGAUAUUAAAUUUGAAUACUCGAUUAAUCAGCUAAUCAAAACGAUGAAGAUGAAUGAAGUGGGUUUGCGUUUAGGAAAUGGACAAAUGGCAAAUGUAAAAUGGGGUUGUGCUUGCGCAGGUUGUCUGCUAGAAGGAAUAUUUGGAAUGGGAUUGUGUUUGUGGAUGAUUUGUUGGGGAUGUUCGCUUGAGAAGAAGGGGCUGGGUGGUGUGGGGUAUUGGGUGGAACCACAGCCUUUGUCUGGUUGUCUCUCCUAAGAGAACUAGUAUACUUUGCCUUUGCUCUGCUAUCAAGGGGCCUAAUAAUCUUGGUUUGUGCGUUGGACCCCUACAUGAAAGAGAGAUGUGGGGUGGUGGAACAAAUUGUGAGUUGCUUGAAGAAAAGGUUAUUUAUUUCCUAGCCAACCAAGUGGGCUUUUUUGGUUUGAUCCUUGCGUUUAACUGCUAGUUCUAGCAUUUAACUUUCUUUUCAGUUUUUUUUUUUGAACUUCGUUUCGGUUUACAAGAUGCAAGUAAAAAGAAAUUAAUUAGCAUUUAAUGCAUUCUAGUUCACAAGAUACGUAAAGAUUUUC